UAGGUUUUUGAAAGUUUGAUGUUGACUCUUUAUUAUACUAGUAUUGAAUGGACUAUAAAACUGCAUACCCAAAAAUAUUAUAAAUGCUCUUAUUAAAGUCUUUGAAAUUUGUACGAAAAUUUUAAAAUUGUAUCGUGAAAAAAAAUGCUAAUGUCUCAAAAAGGCAAACAUGCGUUCCUUUCUGCUCCCCAGUGUGCAUUUGAACAUUCACACAAACAUAUGUACUACAUAAUAACUAACUCGCUUUACUACUGAGCUCCGUUGUAAUUUUAAGAGUGCCAAAUUAAGUAGCAAGACACCAAGAAAUCACGUUUUAAUUCAUAAAGAAGGGUGUGAGUUUAACUAGCAAAAGGAAAACAUUAAUUGUGAACUAUUGUACUUGUCUAAAUGUCUGUUCAUGUUUUCGAAACCGAUUUUUCUGCAGACGACAGUAUUGAAGAUCUGGACUUUAAUACUACUGGAAGUAAACGAAAGAGUUCAUUAAGUGCGAAAUCAGGACCGGCCCUAAAAAAAGUCCAUGUGAAUUCACAAAAAAUUAUUUUCAAAGAAGAAUUUUACACAGAAGUGGAAAAAAUUUCCGACAAGACAACUUGUGCUAAGUGCGUUGCAUGUCAUCGAGUGAUUAGAGGAAGCGGUGAAGUGACUUCAAAUUUCAUCAAACAUUUGCAAGUCAAGCAUAGUGAAUGUUUUAAAACAUACAAAAGUUAUAAAACAGGUAGCCCUUUUGGCGGUAACAUGCAAUCUGAGUUCGAUGGUAAACUGUUACAUGCAAUGAUUGAUUGUUCAUUGCCCCUUUCCAUUCUGGAAAAAAAAUCUUUUAUAGAUCUUUUUCAAAGUACAGGUAUGAAGGUGAUGUGUCAGAAUGUUUUCAAUGCAAAUUUUUCAAAACGAAAUGUAAAUAUAAAAUGAUGAGCUUUCAAA